rnacentral:piRNA from 1 species
UGGUGAUGAGGAUAUGGAGAUGCACAGG